UCUGCUUUAGAGGCCAGAGAGAGGUAGAA
rnacentral:piRNA from 1 species